rnacentral:lncRNA from 1 species
UGAACUUCCAAGCCUCAAGAACAAUGAGCCAAAUGGAUCUAUUUUCUUUAUAAAUCACCCAAUUUGUAGUAUUCCAUUAUAGCUGCAGAAAAUGCAUUAAGUGGCUGUCUAGGAACAUUGAAAACCAGUUCUCCUCAGAAAGAAGAUCAAAGUUACUGGUGAAUGGACAAAUUCUGAGUGGUAAAAUGAGGGAAGUGAGCCAGGACCUAUCAGAGUGUUCAUGGGAAGAUGCUAUGGUACAGAAAAGGAAAGCAGCGAGGGUCUGGCCAAGAUCGAUCCCUGUGGAGCUUGAAGCCCUGAGAAAAGGGUGGGUGGGAAGGCUUCUU